AUGUCAUCCAUGGGUCUAUAUUCAAGGCUUGACCAAGUUUUUGACGCUCCACAUGCCGUCAAAGAGGUUUUGAUUGGGCAAGCGGGUCUUGAACAUUCAGUAUGUUUUUGACUUUUUGUUCAUAUCCGGUUUAGGUUUGGAAAGAGGAAGCUACCAAUAAGCAUGAACGUGCCAUGUCGUAUGCCUUCUCUCACCAAGUAUAUAUAUUUUAAAGGUGACAAGACAUGUAGGUUGAUUGGGCUGGGUAAUGGGUCAAACAUGUUUGGGUUAACACGAGUCACUUUUUAAGCCGGGUUGGAGCGGGUCCAUGCGUUGCGCUCUUUUGGGUAUAAAAAUUUGUUUUCAAUUUGUUUUUUUUUUUAAUCCAGGGACAUUUUAAAUGUAGUUAAUAGUUAAUUGGGGUCAUCGUGCAUGUUUAAGUAGCUGUGUAUUUGCUAUUAAUGGAUCCAGUCGUGCAUGUUUAAGUAGCUGUAUAUUUGCUAUUAAGGACUCCAUAAUCUGACCAAAUGAGCUUGAUGCUGAACCGAAGGGCCUUGGUGCGUUUUAAAUUAUACAUAUUGUUUCGGAUUUUAGCUUAUGUUAUUUUUCUUUUGUUUUUUCUUUGGUAUUAGAGUGCAUUUAAUUGGGAAAGAUUUUGGCUAUUCCCUUUGGAAGACCACUAGAAGCUGACCCAGUAUUUUGUAGGAAAACCACGUUUCUAGCUUGCUCUGGCGUGUUUGCAUUCCUGGUAUUAACUGUCAAAAAUUAUUAAAGAUGUUUUAAAACCAUGUAAAAUAAUCAAUUCAUGUAUAUAGUUGAGGGGUGUGCAUGGUUCGGUUUUCCGUUUUUUAAAACCGCUCGGUUUCGGUUAGGGUUUUAGCAACAGUUCGGUUUUUCAAUUUUUGGAACAAAAUUGUGUAACAUUCAAAAAUAAAAAAAAAUAUAAUCCAAAAUUUAAGAAUUUUUCUUAUAUGUUUACAUUUAAGUUAUUAUAUUAAACCUUUUUAUUAACAAAUAUUGUUCACACAAACAAUACUGCUAAUCAAAUGACAAAAUGGUUUGGUAGGGUUAAAUACGGUCUCAAUGACCUGGCACUUCAUAUUCCCCUGAUGCUGAUGACAAGUUUAAGGUUUACUAUGAGCAUGUUGUCUUUUCAAAAAAAAAAAAAAAAAAACUAUGAGCAUAUUGUGGUUAGAGGGUGGUUGGUUCCUGUGUAACUAUGACACAUCAUAAGGUACACAUGCUUUAAUAUAUGUAUCUUUCUUGUGUCUAUAUGUUUGUUUACCUACCAGGUGUAUACGAAUGGCCGAAAACCAGCAUAAUGUUCGUCUUGAAUCCCGAUUUUGGAUUAUGAAAUAGCGAUAUUUACAUGUUAAAAGAAUUGUUGAUUCAAGCUCGUACGAGAAAGAUGUUUUGGAGUCACAAGCAGCUGAUGUGAGUGCAUGUGAAAACUUAUCCUAAGAAGCUGGCUCGAACUUGAAACGGCUUAAGGUGGUUGGAACGUAUGUCGAAAACAAGAAGCGAGUUUUAGUGACACUUGAUAUUAGUCGGGAUACCCGCCGCAACGCGCGGGCAUUCCAACUAUUAUAUAAACACAUGUAUAUAUGAUUUUUUAACGUUUUAGGUUUAAAUUAUGUUCUCGGCC